CAGUAGCCGCGGUAAUACGAAGGGUGCAAGCGUUAAUCGGAAUUACUGGGCGUAAAGCGUGCGUAGGCGGUGAGUUAAGUCUGCUGUGAAAUCCCCGGGCUCAACCUGGGAAUGGCAGUGGAUACUGGCUCGCUAGAGUGUGUCAGAGGAUGGUGGAAUUCCCGGUGUAGCAGUGAAAUGCGUAGAGAUCGGAAGGAACAUCUGUGGCGAAGGCGACUAUCUGGGCCAACACUGACACUGAGGCACGAAAGCGUGGGGAGCAAACAGGAUUAGAUACCCCCGUAGUCCCUGUCUCUUAUAC
rnacentral:rRNA from 1 species